UUAGCUUUGUCAUGGUGGCCUGGAACCAAACCCACAGUACUUCUGAGGCCAAGAAACUGGCUGAAAUCAACAAGAAAUGAUGGGCUUCACCUGUGUGGAAUCUGUAGGACCCACAAGCAGCUAGAGAAUCAUUUGGAGGCUCUGGAAGCCUGCUUACCUCAUAGGUGUUUCUUCCUUGUUGACAUAGGAUGUCAGGUAGAAUGGUCAUCUUGUGACCAGGAGAUGACAAGAAGGAGAACAAGGCUAAUAUGCCAAGGAUGAAAGAGUGGAAAGAUGGAAAGAGCACAGGUCAUCAUCUGGACUCUCAAUCACAAGUGGUGGGAUCCAGCCUUCCAUGGGACAUACAAGCAGGCUGUUGCUGAAACCUUCAGAAUAGCGGGAGUUGUCCUGGAAGGAAAAAUCGAACCCCUGCUCCUCCUUGUUAAUGAUCUGCACAGUCUCCCUGGCUUCUCUGCCUGAGGAGGAAACACCAGCCCUUAGUGGGGGCCUCCUGACUGCCUGCUGGAGUCUCUCAGCAGACACCGCUUCACAGGCAAGACAUUUAGAAGACAUUCCCCAACCUCUUCCGCCUUUGUCUACCUCUCUUCUUUCCUUUUCCUCUACAAGUCACCUUCCUUCUUUCGGGGAUUCCAUGUCUUUCUUCAUCAGUUGCCUGCUUCUGCUGAGUGGCUCCUCUGCCCUGGCCACAGCUCUCCUGGGAUUCUGGUGACACCGUUUUCUUCCCUUGCUCCUUUAGACCCAAGAAUUGUAAUGCCUUCCUGAAUUUGUUAAUGGGGGCUUCACUCUCCUUGGUUGACCCCCUUAACUGCCCAUGUAUCUGUAAAUAAUUCUUGCAUCGAAUUCUUUGAAAAUAGACCUUUGGUAUUGGCAUGAGUUUCCUGCCCAGGGCUCUGACUAAUACAUUUUCUCUCACUAUCAUCUUACGCUUUCCUCUUGGCUAUUAGACCAUUCAUUUUCCCACAUAAACUUUAGAAUCAUUUUAUCCAAUUCUCUCCCCUUCCAAUUCUUUUGGGAUUUGGUUGACAGAUUUAGCAAAUAAUUUUUUGGUAUAAAUAUGUCCCGAGCAAUAUUUGGACAUACUCAAAAUUAUUAAUUGCUAUUUGAAAUUAAAAUUUAUGCAUCCUGUAUUUUAUCUGGCAACCCUAGUUGGGAUUCUAAUUGGAACUUGAUUAAAUUUGCAUUUAAUUUUAGGACAACUAACAAAUGAUCAGAUCUUGUUUGGGGGAUUUUAAUCAGAUUUGAUAGUUUUCUUCAUGUAGGUCUUUUUUGUGCAUGUCUUAUUACAUUUAUCCUUAGCUAUUUUAUAGGUUUUGCCAGUACCAAGUGGAUGUUUUCUUUGGUUUUCUGUUUCUAGGUGCUAGUGCUAAAAAAGAAGACACUAUUUUUGCACAUUUGUCUUGCAUCUGCCCACCUUACCACAUUAUUCUGUUGAGUCUAGUAGUUUGUUUUGCUUUUUCUCUAGAGUCUCUUGUGGUUUUAUGUGUACAAAAUCAUCAGUAAAAGCAAAACAAGAUGACUUUAUCCCUUUUUCCCCAAUGUUUAUGCAAAUUAUUUAAUUUUCUUGUUUUGUCAUAUUUGCUAAAGUCUCUAAGCAAGUGUUCAAUAAUAAGGGUGAUAAUGAACACCCUUACCUAAUUCCUCAUUUUAAUUGAAGCAGUUUUAGUCAUUUAUUGCAGGAUCAUAUCUGCCUCUUGAUUUUGGUUAACCUUUUUUUCCAUCAAUGUCCAUUUUGCUAUUAGAGUUUUUGUUGGGAAUGUCUGCUAAAUUUUGGCAAUGCCUUUUCAGUGUAUAUUAACAUGAUCACAUGGUUGUUCUUCUUUAAUCUAUUGAUGUAAUGAUUAUAUUGAAACGUACCACUGUUGAAUUCCUGGAUUAAACUCUGUCUCACUGUUGUUAUUCUUAUGCUACAUUGCUUAUUUGUUCAAAAUCUUAAUAAAUGCCAUAAUUCCCCCUCCCACCUAAUUAUGUGUAUCGGUAAAAUACACAUCCAGCAGUUAACACUGCUUUCCUUUGGAGUGGAAAGAGAAAGAUGAGACAGGAUGAAUGUGGAGAGAUUAAACUUUUUCUUAUGCAACACCACAUUGGUGGAUUUACUAUAAAGAAUAUUAUUUUACAAAUACAAAUCUAACAUAUUAUUAAAACAUA
rnacentral:lncRNA from 1 species